rnacentral:rRNA from 1 species
AGUGAACGCUGGCGGUAGGCCUAACACAUGCAAGUCGAACGGCAGCACAGGAGAGCUUGCCCUCUGGGUGGCGAGUGGCGGACGGGUGAGGAAUACAUCGGAAUCUACUUUUUCGUGGGGGAUAACGUAGGGAAACUUACGCUAAUACCGCAUACGACCUACGGGUGAAAGCAGGGGACCUUCGGGCCUUGCGCGAUUGAAUGAGCCGAGGUCGGAUUAGCUAGUUGGCGGGGUAAAGGCCCACCAAGGCGACGAUCCGUAGCUGGUCUGAGAGGAUGAUCAGCCACACUGGAACUGAGACACGGUCCAGACUCCUACGGGAGGCAGCAGUGGGGAAUAUUGGACAAUGGGCGCGAGCCUGAUCCAGCCAUACCGCGUGGGUGAAGAAGGCCUUCGGGUUGUAAAGCCCUUUUGUUGGGAAAGAAAUCCAGCUGGCUAAUACCCGGUUGGGAUGACGGUACCCAAGAAUAAGCACCGGCUAACUUCGUGCCAGCCGCCGCCGUAA